rnacentral:rRNA from 1 species
CAUUGGGCUCCCAUGGCAGUGGAUCACUCGGCUUGUGGGUCGAUGAAGACCGGGGUAAAACCCGAGAGUGUUUGCGA